GGCUCCAUAGUGUGGUGGUUAGCGUGUCUGCUUUACACACAGAAAGUCCUGGGCUCACACCCAGGUCGAGCCA
rnacentral:tRNA from 1 species